GUCGCAAGCGGGUCCAUAGCUGGGGGCAGGGGGGUGUGCGUGCCCACAUGAGUGCGAGCGGGGGUUGGAGAGUCUGACUGGUCCCCCGCUUCCUAAGGGUCCCGGCGCCCAGCCUUAGAUCGGCAGGAAGUGGCUGCUGGUACGCGGCGGUGCUCCAAGCUUACGGUGCUCGGAUCGACUGAUUACUCUUUUUUAUGGUUUUACUGUGUAAUAAAAGUGUGUGU